rnacentral:rRNA from 1 species
ACGAGGAGCUUGCUCCUCUGACGUUAGCGGCGGACGGGUGGGUAACACGUGGAUAACCUACCUAUAAGACUGGGAUAACUUCGGGAAACCGGAGCUAAUACCGGGUAAUAUAUUGAACCGCAUGGUUCAAUAGUGAAAGACGGUUUUGCUGUCACUUAUAGAUGGAUCCGCGCCGCAUUAGCUAGUUGGUAAGGUAACGGCUUACCAAGGCAACGAUGCGUAGCCGACCUGAGAGGGUGAUCGGCCACACUGGAACUGAGACACGGUCCAGACUCCUACGGGAGGCAGCAGUAGGGAAUCUUCCGCAAUGGGCGAAAGCCUGACGGAGCAACGCCGCGUGAGUGAUGAAGGUCUUCGGAUCGUAAAACUCUGUUAUUAGGGAAGAACAAAUGUGUAAGUAACUAUGCACGUCUUGACGGUACCUAAUCAGAAAGCCACGGCUAACUACGUGCCAGCAGCCGCGGUAAUACGUAGGUGGCAAGCGUUAUCCGGAAUUAUUGGGCGUAAAGCGCGCGUAGGCGGUUUUUUAAGUCUGAUGUGAAAGCCCACGGCUCAACCGUGGAGGGUCAUUGGAAACUGGAAAACUUGAGUGCAGAAGAGGAAAGUGGAAUUCCAUGUGUAGCGGUGAAAUGCGCAGAGAUAUGGAGGAACACCAGUGGCGAA